rnacentral:rRNA from 1 species
UAGGGAAUAUUGGACAAUGGGCGAAAGCCUGAUCCAGCCAUGCCGCGUGUGUGAAGAAGGUCUUCGGAUUGUAAAGCACUUUAAGUUGGGAGGAAGGGCAGUAACCUAAUACGUUGCUGUCUUGACGUUACCGACAGAAUAAGCACCGGCUAACUCUGUGCCAGCAGCCGCGGUAAUACAGAGGGUGCAAGCGUUAAUCGGAAUUACUGGGCGUAAAGCGCGCGUAGGUGGUUUGUUAAGUUGGAUGUGAAAUCCCCGGGCUCAACCUGGGAACUGCAUUCAAAACUGACAAGCUAGAGUAUGGUAGAGGGUGGUGGAAUUUCCUGUGUAGCGGUGAAAUGCGUAGAUAUAGGAAGGAACACCAGUGGCGAAGGCGACCACCUGGACUGAUACUGACACUGAGGUGCGAAAGCGUGGGGAGCAAACAGGAUUAGAUACCCCCGUAGUCCCUGAGCGGGCUGGCAAGGCGCAU